UCAAGUUGUGAGCUGACUAUGUCCUGUACCAGGAGUUGGGUAGCAUGAUGACUCAGAUUCUUGGCCCUCUUGGUGAGGCCCUGCAGCACGUGGGCCUGUAGCUGCGAGGGCUCCAUGUGGGCCGUGCACUGCAGGGUCCUGGUGAUGAUGCCCGUCUCCACCGGGUCAGACUGGAUGCCGUUCAACCUCCCAAACAGUUCAGCUGUGCAAACACAAGACCACACACAAGUUGAGGUUGAACAUGGAACCCAGGAUGCUGCACAGGGUCAUGACUAAAGACAGUUCGGGGACGGGGAAGCUGAGCAGCUUCUGGUGUUUGCGCAUGAACACCACACCAUGUUCCACGGUGUUCUCAAAGAGCUUCUUCAAGUAGGCCAUGCCCUGGUCCUGCAAAGGCUCAGGCAGCUCCUGGAGCCAGCGGUCCACAUACAGCUUCCAGACCAUUCCCAAUGGAUCCUGCAUGACAGCAACACACAGGCCCAAUAAACCAACCAUAUUUUGGGUGUGGUUUGGAAACGACAUACUCUUAGACGUGUACUUCUGUAUGUGGAACAGUAUUCAUAUGACAAGCUAAUAAAAGCCUACGACAAACAAAUACCUUUUUUGUACUUAUAAAAUGUCACACUGUAUACUCAAGUUGGC